GCACAACAACGGGUGGAGCCUGCGGUUUAAUUGGACUCAACGCCGGACAACUCACCGGGGGCGACAGCAAUAUGUAGGUCAGGCUGAAGACCUUACCUGAAUCGCUGAGAGGAGGUGCAUGGCCGUCGCCAGUUCGUACUGUGAAGCAUCCUGUUAAGUCAGGCAACGAGCGAGACCCGUGCCCACUGUUACCAGCAUGUCCUCCGGGACGAUGGGUACACUGUGGGGACCGCCGGUGUUAAAUCGGAGGAAGGUGCGGGCUACGGUAGGUCAGUAUGCCCCGAAUCUCCCGGGCUACACGCGGGCUACAAUGGAUGGGACAAUGGGUCCCUACCCUGAAAAGGGCUGGUAAUCUCACAAACCCAUUCUUAGUUCGGAUCGAGGGCUGUAACUCGCCCUCGUGAAGCUGGAAUCCGUAGUAAUCGCGUUUCAAUAUAGCGCGGUGAAUACGUCCCUGCUCCUUGCACACACCGCCCGUCGCUCCACCCGAGUCAAGUACGGGCGAGGUAUGGAUCUUUGUCUGUAUCGAACCUAUGUUUGGCAAGGGGGGAG
rnacentral:rRNA from 1 species